UCUGGUGACUAUAGCAAGGAAGUCACACCUGUUCCCAUGCCGAACACAGAAGUUAAGCUCCUUAGCAUCGAUGGUAGUCGAACUUACGUUCCGCUAGAGUAGAACGUUGCCAGGC
rnacentral:rRNA from 1 species